rnacentral:rRNA from 1 species
GACGAGCAUCACAAACGUUUAUUCGGAAUUACUGGGCUUAAAGGGUGCGCAGGCGGCUUGGCAAGUCGGGUGUGAAAUCCCGGGGCUCAACCCCGUGACUGCAUCCGAUACUGUCAGGCUAGAGGUAGGUAGGGGAGAUCGGAAUUCCUGGUGUAGCGGUGAAAUGCGCAGAUAUCAGGAGGAACACCGGUGGCGAAGGCGGAUCUCUGGGCCUUACCUGACGCUCAGGCGCGAAAGCUAGGGGGAGCGAA